rnacentral:rRNA from 1 species
GAUGAACGCUAGCGACAGGCUUAACACAUGCAAGUCGAGGGGCAGCGGGGAGGUAGCAAUACUUCCGCCGGCGACCGGCGCACGGGUGAGUAACACGUAUGGAACCUGCCCGUAGCAGGGGGAUAAGCGGAAGAAAUUCCGUCUAAUACCGCGUAAUAACUCCGAGAGGCAUCUCCUGGGGUUUAAAGGGUAACACCGGCUACGGAUGGCCAUGCGGCGCAUUAGCUAGUUGGCGGGGUAACGGCCCACCAAGGCGACGAUGCGUAGGGGUUCUGAGAGGAAGGUCCCCCACAUUGGAACUGAGACACGGUCCAA